ACGCUCGACACCUACGGGAGGAGCAGUAGGGAAGUCUUCCACAAUGGGCGCGAAGCCUGAUGGAGCAACACCGCGUGAGUGAAGAAGGGUUUCGGCUCGUAAAGCUCUGUUGUUGGAGAAGAACGUGCGUGAGAGUAACUGUUCACGCAGUGACGGUAUCCAACCAGAAAGUCACGGCUAACUACGUGCCAGCAGCCGCGGUAAUCUGAGCGGGCUGGCAAGGC
rnacentral:rRNA from 1 species